CAAAACUGGACACAGUACCUGAGGUGAGGCCUCACCAGUGCUGGGUAAAGAGGAACAAUCACUUCCCGGGCCAAAUACUAGAUAUUAGAUCUGGAGUCCUUCCAGUGGUAUUUUUAUAGGAAAGGUACCACAUUUUCAAUUCCACAAAUCUUUGCCAUAAAGAAUUAUCGUAAUUAUCAUGUACAAAUUGUCACUGGUUGGCUAUCCAUCUGGUCUUUCUCUUCUUCAUUUUAUGUUACUAUUAAAAUUUAUACUUCUUUUAUACUGUCUGAACUGCAAACAGCUUCUUGUACUUUACUAUUCAGAUGUCUUUAAUUUACACAUCUCUUAACUCUGUAGUGGGCUUUAAAAAAGUUUCCAGUUAAAGACUUGAAAAAUCCUUUUGUGUUGUUUCAAUUUUUUUUAUUUAUUUUUUUCUUAAUUCACUGAAAACGGUUCGGUUUCAACUGGGUACGCAAGAAAAUGUCUUUUCUUGUGAGCCUCAGAAACAUGCUUCCAAAAAGCAAUGAUGGAAGUGUGGAGAAACGUCUUCAACUGGCAGCAUUUGAUCGGUUUCUUGCUUACACCCAAUGAACAGGAGAGGGAGCCAAUGUGCUAAAAAGCUGCAGAAGAAUUGUAACCUGCACUUGAAGGGCUGUGAGCUCUGAUUCUUCAGUAAUGCCAGAGCCGAAUGUCACCACUGACACAACAUGCUUGAGUUACACUGAAGUUCAUGUCAUAGCUUUAAAGUUUGCUCCAGCUUCAGAUCUUACCUGAAAAGUACAGCUCCUUUUCCUGCAUGGCUGCAGCAGUAACCUCCAGUAACCAGGUCUCGGACAGGCUUGACUUCUUCAAAAAGGGGGACAGCCUCCACUGAUCUUCCAGUUGAUCCUGAGGGACUUCAAAUACAAGGUAAUUACUGGAAGAAAAGCUAAUUUAAUGACUGAAGCAACAACUUUGGUUUAAAAGACAUCCUAUAUAUGGAAUCCAAGAUUUAUGUCCUGGAAGGAUCAACUCUUCAUCCUUCAUUUGUCCAGCAUUAAAUAGUCCAUUGAGAAGAGCUUGUCUACAAUGAAUGGAUGAUGAACCUCACCCCAUCCCCAGCCCAGUUCCUUCUGAUAAAGUUAUGGUGUCUCUAUUCUCUUUGAAUGAAGUCUUGUUUUUGGUUUUGCUCUGCUGUUUGCUCAUCAGU